rnacentral:misc_RNA from 1 species
UCCGGUUUAACACCGGCAGUCUCUCUAGAGUACCCAACUUAAUGAUGGUAACUAAAGACAGGGGUUGCGCUCGUUAUUGGACUUAACCAGACAUCUUACAACACGAGCUGACGACAGCCAUGCAGCACCUAUCUCCGCGUCUCCGAAGAGAACAUGACAUCUCUGCCACUAGCACGGGAUGUUAAGGGUAGGUAAGGUUCUGCGCGUUGCUUCGAAUUAAACCACAUACUCCACCGCUUGUGCGGGCCCCCGUCAAUUUCUUUGAGUUUUAGCCUUGCGACCGUACUUCCCAGGCGGGAUACUUAAUGCGUUAGCUCCAGUACUCAAGGGGUUAAUUCCUCAAACACCUAGUAUCCAUAGUUUACAGCGCGGACUAC